rnacentral:miRNA from 1 species
AUGCAGUCCAUGGGCAUAUACACUU